GUGCCAGCAGCCGCGGUAAAACGUAGGAGGCGAGCGUUAUCCGGAUUUACUGGGCGUAAAGCGCGUGCAGGCGGAUUGGAGAGUUGGAUGUGAAAGCUCCCGGCUUAACUGGGAGAGGUCGUUCAAUACUUCCAGUCUUGAGUGCAGUAGAGGGAAGUGGAAUUCCGGGUGUAGUGGUGAAAUGCGUAGAUAUCCGGAGGAACACCAGUGGCGAAAGCGGCUUCCUGGACUGUAACUGACGCUCAGACGCGAAAGCUAGGGUAGCAAACGGGAUUAGAAACCCUGGUAGUCC
rnacentral:rRNA from 1 species